rfam:Oryza glumipatula chromosome 6, whole genome shotgun sequence.
AAAGACUCAAUUCCUGAGUUUUCGUGUUCAACGUUUGGCUCUCCGUCUUAUAUGAAAUUUUUUUAUGAUUAGUAUUUUCAUUGUUGUUAGAUGAUACAUCAUGAAUAAUAUUUUAUGUGUGACUUAUCUUUUUAAUUUUUUAUAAUAUUUUCAAAUAAGACGGACGGUCAAACGUUAGACACGAAAACCUAUA